rnacentral:tRNA from 2 species
GGAGAGGUCGCAUAGUGGACUAGUGCAGUUGCUUGGAGAGCAACCGAGCCUUAACAGGUUCCGUGGGUUCAAAUCCCACCCUCUCCGCCA